UACGUAGGGUGCAAGCGUUGUCCGGAAUUAUUGGGCGUAAAGAGCUCGUAGGCGGUCUGUCGCGUCUGCUGUGAAAAUCCAGGGCUCAACCCUGGACCUGCAGUGGGUACGGGCAGACUAGAGUGCGGUAGGGGAGAUCGGAAUUCCUGGUGUAGCGGUGAAAUGCGCAGAUAUCAGGAAGAACACCAAUGGCGAAAGCAGCUCUCUGGGACGGUACUGACGCUGAGACGCGAAAGCGUGGGGAGCGAACAGG
rnacentral:rRNA from 1 species